UACGGAGGGGGCUAGCGUUGUUCGGAAUUACUGGGCGUAAAGCGCGCGUAGGCGGACCUGCAAGUCGGGGGUGAAAGCCCGAGGCUCAACCUCGGAACUGCCUUCGAUACUGCGGGUCUCGAGUCCGGGAGAGGUGAGUGGAAUUCCUAGUGUAGAGGUGAAAUUCGUAGAUAUUAGGAAGAACACCAGUGGCGAAGGCGGCUCACUGGACCAUAACUGACGCUGAUGCACGAAAACUAGGGGAGCAAACAGG
rnacentral:rRNA from 1 species